GUUAAGUUAGGUCGCGUU
rnacentral:snRNA from 1 species